AGAUUGAACGCUGGCGGCAGGCCUAACACAUGCAAGUCGAGCGGUAGAGAGGUGCUUGCACCUCUUGAGAGCGGCGGACGGGUGAGUAAUGCCUAGGAAUCUGCCUAGUGGUGGGGGAUAACGUUCGGAAACGGACGCUAAUACCGCAUACGUCCUACGGGAGAAAGCGGGGGACCUUCGGGCCUCGCGCCAUUAGAUGAGCCUAGGUCGGAUUAGCUAGUUGGUGAGGUAAUGGCUCACCAAGGCGACGAUCCGUAACUGGUCUGAGAGGAUGAUCAGUCACACUGGAACUGAGACACGGUCCAGACUCCUACGGGAGCAGCAGUGGGAAUAUUGGACAAUGGGACGAAAGCC
rnacentral:rRNA from 1 species